CCUACGGGGGGCAGCAGUAGGGAAUCUUCCACAAUGGACGAAAGUCUGAUGGUGCAACGCCGCGUGAGUGAAGAAGGGUUUCGGCUCGUAAAGCCCUGGUGGUAGUGAAGAAAGAUAGAGGUAUUAACUGGCCUUUAUUUGACGGUAAUUACUUAGAAAGUCACGGCUAACUAUGUGCCAGCAGCCGCGGUAAUUCGUAGGUGGCAAGCGUUGUCCGGAUUUAUUGGGCGUAAAGCGAGUGCUGGCGGUUCAAUAAGUCUGAUGUGAAAGCCUUCGGCUCAACCGGAGAAUUGAAUCAGACACUGUGUAACUUGAGUGCAGAAGAGGAGAGUGGAACUCCAGGUGUAGCAGUGGAAUGCGUAGAUAUAUGGAAGAACACCAGUGGCGAAGGCGGCUCUCUGGUCUGCAACUGACGCUGAGGCUCGAAAGCAUGGGUAGCGAACAGGAUUAGAUACCCUAGUAGUC
rnacentral:rRNA from 1 species